rnacentral:rRNA from 1 species
AUGAGGGACCUUGGCUUCUCGGGUCCCAAGUACACCUGGUGCAAUCGACAAGAUCCCAAUUGUCAUGUUAAAGUCAGGCUAGAUAGGGUUGUGGUGAACAAUUGUUUUUCAAAUCUGUUUGAUGAAUGUCAUGUGGAAAAUAUCAUUGCUACUUCGUCAGACCAUUAUGCCAUGUUGAUCGGGCUUUCUCGUUCCAGUAGGGCGUGUGAUCGUCGUCCGGUGAAACAGGGUUUUAAAUUUGAAGCCAUGUGGCUUCGGGCCUCUGACUACCGAGACACCAUGGAGCGCGUUUGGGCUAAGGGGGGGUGUGGAGAUGUGUCUCUUCAGUCCACUUGGGAUAAUCUGAAUCGAGUUGCUGGCUCUUUAAAGUCUUGGAGUCGUGAUUCGUUUGGAUCUGUACGCAAGCAAAUCAAUAGGUUAGAGAGACGCCUCUACUCCAUCCAGUCUGCUCCGGUAUCGGCGGCGCCUCUAGCUGAGGAGAGAUCCAUUGAGACCCAUCUUUGUGAGCUUUUUGAGCGAGAAGAGAUUAUGGAGCGCCAGCGAUCUCGGGUUGAUUGGCUCCGAGAGGGGGACAGAAACACAUCUUUUUUCCAAGCCCGAGCCACUGCGCGCAGGCGCACCAACAAGAUCCACUCGCUUCAGCGUGAAGAUGGGUCCAUGUGUGAGUCACAGGCGGAGAUUAAAGGGUUGGUGCAAUAGUUUUACGACAAGCUCUUUUCUUCACAACAUUGUGCUGAUGCUGAC